ACGGCCCACCAAGGCGACGAUCGGUAGCCGGCCUGAGAGGGUGAUCGGCCACAUUGGGGACUGAGAUACGGCCCAGACUCCUACGGGAGGCAGCAGUAGGGAAUAUUGCACAAUGGGGGGAACCCUGAUGCAGCAACGCCACGUGUGGGAAGAAGUUUCUCGGUGUGAAAACCACUGUCAGAGGGAAUAAGGCCCGCUUCCGGGCGGGAUUGAAUGUACCUUGAGAGGAAGCACCGGCAAACUACGUGCCAGCAGCCGCGGUAAUACGAGGGGUGCAAGCGUUGUUCGGAAUUACUGGGCGUAAAGGGAGCGUAGGCGGAGAUUCAAGCGGAUUGUACAAUCCCGGGGCCCAACCCCGGCUCUGCAGUCCGAACUGGAUCUCUUGGAUAGUUCAGGGGCAGGCGGAAUUCCUGGUGUAGCGGUGGAAUGCGUAGAGAUCAGGAAGAACACCGAUGGCGAAGGCAGCCUGCUGGGGACUUUAUCGACGCUGAGGCUCGAAAGUGCGGGUAGCAAACAGGAUUAGAUACCCUGGUAG
rnacentral:rRNA from 1 species